rnacentral:lncRNA from 1 species
CACACAAUAUUUGUUAUAUCAGCAGGAGAAUGGAAAUUGAGUUGGCAGUGAAGCAUUGCAGUGACAACUGUUACCUUGGAAACUGUAGUAAGCAAUCAUAAUUACAAUUAGCAAGACUCCCACAAAGUGUACAUAAAUAUUCGCGUGCCAGAGACAAGUGCCAUGUACCAGACAGCGGAGUAAACUGUGGGACCGUCUUUCUUUCUCUUUGACACGUCCUUGUAGAUAUCAAGGUUCUGUUAAGAGACAUUCCAGCUUCUUUGAAUUUAGGUGAAUAUGUUUCCUUUAUGCGCUGGUUUUGCGGCCUGUAACAUAAUGACAAUUGACACACAGCGGAUUACAUGGAAGCUUCAAGUGACCCUUAAUUGAAGUACAUCCAGUCUUGAAUGGACUUUUAAACAAAGUCUGAUCUCAGAAGAAAAUAAGGCAAUUGUAAAUAAUAAAUGGUGUCGCAGCACAAUUAUGAGGGUGCUCUGGGGAAAAGUGUUGCCAUACGGAAAGAAUGGUUAAAGGCUGUGAUUUAAUCAUUCUCUGCUACUUGAUUCUUGGUUUCUUCAUUACAGCCAUGGAAGUGUUCCCUUUGAUUCAGACUUCAGUUUCAAAUUGAAAGAAGUCAGAAGAAGAAUGAAUGAUAGAUUUCUUCUCACUUGGACACACCAGGAGUGUCCUAUUCUCUCUGAAUUCCUUCAUAAACAAGGGAGAAAAGGCAGUUAAGUCAGGAGUGUUUGAGUCUGUAUUUCUGAACACUUGUGGGAACAAAGCUUUGAAGAUAAUCAUCUCAACAAAAAGUUGAAGAGAGCCAGCAGUAAAAAGAGAAAGCAAUAGCUAAAAGAAGAAUCAAGAACAAAGCAAAAGGUGAGUGAAAUACUAAAUGACUCAUGAGAAACCGAAAAGAAUUCAGA